rnacentral:rRNA from 1 species
CGGGGGGAGCAAGCGUUGUUCGGAUUUACUGGGCGUAAAGGGCGCGUAGGCGGCCACCGCAAGUCGACUGUGAAAUCUCCGGGCUUAACCCGGAAAGGUCAGCCGAUACUGCGGGGCUAGAGUGCAGAAGGGGCAACUGGAAUUCUCGGUGUAGCGGUGAAAUGCGUAGAUAUCGAGAGGAACACCUGCGGCGAAGGCGGGUUGCUGGGCUGACACUGACGCUGAUGCGCGAAAGCUAGGGGAGCGAACGGGAUUAGAUACCCCGGUAGUCCUAGCCUUAAACGAUGAAUGCUUGGUGUCUGGGGUCUUAUAGUCCCCGGGUGCCGUCGCUAACGCUUUAAGCAUUCCGCCUGGGGAGUACGGUCGCAAGACUG